AUUGAACGCUGGCGGCAUGCCUAACACAUGCAAGUCGAACGGUUGAAGUGUGCUUGCUUCGGGUGUCAGCGUCGCACGGGUGAGUGAUGCCUAUAAAUCUGCCACCUACGGGGGGAGAACGUCUCUAAACGGGCGCUAAUACCUCCUGCGUCGUGAGGCGGAAAGUGGGUGAUCUUCGGACCUCACUCUAUCAGAUGAUCCUAGGUCGGAUUAGCUAGUUGGUGGGGUAAAGGCCUACCAAGGCGAGGAUCGGUGACUGGUCUGGGAGGAGGGUCAGUCAGACUGGAAUUGGACCACGGUCCAGACUCCUACGGGAGGCAGCAGAGGGGAAUAUAGGACUAUGGGAGGAAGGCAGAUCCAGCCAUGCCGCGUGUGUGGAGAAGGUCUUGCGAUUGUAAAGUACUUUAAGUUGGGAGGAAGGGCAGUAAGUUAAGACCUUGCUGUAUUGACGUUACCAACAGAAUAAGCACCGGCUAACUUCGUG
rnacentral:rRNA from 1 species